UACGAAGGGGGCUAGCGUUGUUCGGAAUCACUGGGCGUAAAGCGCACGCAGGCGGAUUGAUAAGUCAGGGGUGAAAUCCCGGGGCUCAACCUCGGAAUUGCCUUUGAUACUGUCUGUCUUGAGUUCGGGAGAGGUUGGCGGAAUUCCUAGUGUAGAGGUGAAAUUCGUAGAUAUUAGGAAGAACACCAGUGGCGAAGGUGGCCAACUGGCCCGAUACUGACGCUCAUGUGCGAAAGCGUGGGGAGCAAACAGG
rnacentral:rRNA from 1 species